AAAGAGGCCUGAAGGCAGUAAGGUUUGCUAAUCCUUUGCCCCCGCAGUUAGAUUCUG
rnacentral:tRNA from 1 species